AUUGAACGCUGGCGGCAGGCCUAACACAUGCAAGUCGAACGAGUGGCGGACGGGUGAGUAAUGUCUGGGAAACUGUCUGAUGGAGGGCGAUAACUACUGGAAACGGUAGCUAAUACCGCAUACCAUCGGAUGUGCCCAGAUGGGAUUAGCGAGUAGGUGGGGUAAAGGCUCACCUAGGCGACGAUCCCUAGCUGGUCUGAGAGGAGGACCAGCUACACUGGAGCUGAGACACUGUCCAGAAUCCUACGGGAGGCAGCAAUGGUGAAUAUUGCACAAUGAGCGCAAGCCUGAUGCAGCCAUGCCGCGUGUGUGAAGAAGGCCUUCAGGUUGUAAAGUACUUUCAGGGGGGAGGCGUUACCAGCAGAAGAAGCACCGGAUAACACCAUACCAGCAGCCGCGGUAAUAC
rnacentral:rRNA from 1 species